GCCAUUGCUCAAUGGUAGAGCAUCUGCUUUGCAUAUGCAGAAAAUCCCAGGUUCAAUAUUCGGUGCCACUGGGUACGGCU